rnacentral:rRNA from 1 species
GGCCUACGGGAGGCAGCAGUGGGGAAUAUUGCACAAUGGGGGAAACCCUGAUGCAGCAACGCCGCGUGAGCGAAGAAGGCCUUCGGGUCGUAAAGCUCUGUCCUAAGGGAAGAUAAUGACGGUACCUUAGGAGGAAGCCCCGGCUAACUACGUGCCAGCAGCCGCGGUAAUA